GGGAACUACGAGCCAAGCUUAAAACCCAAAGGACUUGACGGUACCCCAUAUCCCCCUAGAGGAGCCUGUCCUAUAAUCGAUAACCCCCGUUUAACCUCACCAUUUCUAGCAACUCAGCCUGUAUACCUCCGUCGUCAGCUUACCACGUGAGCGCUAGUGAGCUCAAUGUUUUUUCAACUAAACGUCAGGUCAAGGUGCAACACAUGAAAUGGGAAGAGAUGGGCUACACUUUCUAAAAUAGAUCACACGGAAGACUAACUAUGAAAUCUAGUCAGAAG
rnacentral:rRNA from 1 species